AUUGAACGCUGGCGGUAUGCUUAACACAUGCAAGUCGAACGGUAACAGGCCUUCGGGCGCUGACGAGUGGCGGACGGGUGAGUAACGCGUAGGAAUCUGCCUCAUAGUGGGGGACAACGUGGGGAAACUCACGCUAAUACCGCAUACGCCCUACGGGGGAAAGCGGGGGAUCUUCGGACCUCGCGCUAUGAGAUGAGCCUGCGUUAGAUUAGCUAGUUGGUAGGGUAAAGGCCUACCAAGGCGACGAUCUAUAGCUGGUCUGAGAGGACGAUCAGCCACACUGGGACUGAGACACGGCCCAGACUCCUACGGGAGGCAGCAGUGGGGAAUAUUGGACAAUGGGCGCAAGCCUGAUCCAGCAAUACCGCGUGUGUGAAGAAGGCCUUAGGGUUGUAAAGCACUUUCAAUUGGGAGGAAAACCUGCCGGUCAAUACCCGGUACGCUUGACAUUACCUUUAGAAGAAGCACCGGCUAACUCCGUGCCAGCAGCCGCGGUAA
rnacentral:rRNA from 1 species